rnacentral:rRNA from 1 species
GACGAACGCUGGCGGCGUGCCUAAUACAUGCAAGUCGAACGCUUCUUUCCUCCCGAGUGCUUGCACUCAAUUGGAAAGAGGAGUGGCGGACGGGUGAGUAACACGUGGGUAACCUACCCAUCAGAGGGGGAUAACACUUGGAAACAGGUGCUAAUACCGCAUAACAGUUUAUGCCGCAUGGCAUAAGAGUGAAAGGCGCUUUCGGGUGUCGUUGAUGGAUGGACCCGCGGUGCAUUAGCUAGUUGGUGAGGUAACGGCUCGCCAAGGCCACGAUGCAUAGCCGACCUGAGAGGGUGAUCGGCCACACUGGGACUGAGACACGGCCCAGACUCCUACGGGAGGCAGCAGUAGGGAAUCUUCGGCAAUGGACGAAAGUCUGACCGAGCAACGCCGCGUGAGUGAAGAAGGUUUUCGGAUCGUAAAACUCUGUUGUUAGAGAAGAACAAGGACGUUAGUAACUGAACGUCCCCUGACGGUAUCUAACCAGAAAGCCACGGCUAACUACGUG